rnacentral:tRNA from 1 species
UGCGGAGAGGCACGGUGACCAUGCGAGCCUCAUAAGCUCGACCUCUCGAGUUCGACUCUCGGCUCCGCAACCA